rnacentral:lncRNA from 1 species
UUUUCAACUUCCUUAAUCAAAAGUUGCAAGUGGCAAAAUAACUGAGCUAUCAACAACAAGCAACCCACUAACUCAUUUUAAUCCUAUAUAGCGUGGACAAAACUGCAACAAAAAAUCACAUUUAACAUUCAGCAGCUUAUCUGGGUGCUGAAGAAUUACUAAAAUUGAGACCUAGCUCUUCAAAAUUUAUCAAGUUUCCGAGCAUCUUUUUGAGAUUUUUUUAGUACAUUUGCCUUUUAAAUGAAAAGGACAAGAAGAUUUUUUUUUUUUUUUGCCUUUGUCUUAUGGCAUGAUAUCAUGUCAUAAGGUCAUGAUAGUUUUUUUUAGUUGGUAAGUUUAGAUAUGAUCAUACCUCAGAAACUAUCUAGGGUUGCCUUCAUGGCCUACCUCUAAAGGCCGAUGCCUGAGGGAUGGCAGAGAGCCAGGCUCCUCGUGUGGCGAACUGGUGGCACAGCCCUGCAGCCAGACUGUGAAAGCAGCCUGAUGUUUUGUCACAACAUGUCCUAAGUGAAGAUCUCUCAGUCUUAAUUGCAGGCCCUUAACCUUCUGCUCCUGCUCAGCUGGAGACCGCAGGGCUGAGCUCAAUUGGUUUCCCCACUUUCAAAAUAUUUAAAGCGAUUCCCCUGUUUCUCAUACGGAAAUACUUCAGCCUGGGUCUCACGUUGCUGGAGUGCUCCUUAAGAGCUGGCUGACGGCUAGUACUGCAGCAUCUCUUACAUGUGGAUCUUGAGUAUUUUGCAAAAUCGACUGAAGUGCAUUUGCAGAGGCAGUAGAGCAGUAUUCAUCAGGAUCCAAGAGCUGUCCUGCCUUGUACUUCUGCUUUAUUAAUACCAGCACCAUCCACGAAGCUACAGUUAAAGACAUCCGGCUCUGAGAUGGGAGAUGCAGUUGAUUCCAGCAGACAUUAUUUAGCAUUCUGAUUUGACUUGGAUUCCUCGUCUACACAAAACAGCACUAGACCCCUUAUAAGCCAUAUAAAAGCUGGUCAGAUCCAGAAACUUAUACAGUCCUACUUGUAUGUACAGCCCUACUUCUUUCUUAACUUUUUCUCCAAAGCAAAGGGAAGAUGGGAGCAUAGCAAAGCAAAGACAAAUAGAAGUCACUCUGGAGGGUAUUGAUUGACUCGUGUCUGGCCCAGGUAUCAAUUACCACUUCUCUUUCUCAGUGCAAAGAGGAGGGUGAGGAGCGAUGCAGAACCCUCUCAGAGGCACAGUGAUUGCUUGGACUGUGCCAUUAAUGAACAGUUGACUUGAUGCGGGCUGUGCCUAAAGCACACUGAAAGCCUUGCUUUGCUGUCUCUCCAGUGCUCCUCUUGGCUUUGAGAAGACAAAUCUCCUCUUUAAAUUCGAGUGGUUCUUGUAGAAGAACCAAAACAAAUU